GGUCCUGUACAGAGCUCAGCUGCAGGCUGACCUAGCAGCCGAUCACAAACCACGCAGGCUCCCUUUAUCUUCCUUUUGAGUGGCUCACGUCGCCUUGGGACCGGACACCGAGGGUUCCCGCAGACUACUGGUCCCUCUCCUCCUGCCCUGUGCCCUUACUCUGAGUCUGGGAGGAAAGCCGCGCGACUUCCCCGGGAGACCCAGGGCCACAGGCCGGGAGUGGAGGAAGCGGCUGGGAGCUGUCCAUGGUGGCUCCGCGCCUGGGCACGCAGAGCCGCCGGCUCCCGCCCCCGGGCGCGCCCGGGAUAACGCUCCAGACCGCCGGAAUGGAGAGACAGACUCGCUCCCAGGCUGCAGCCAGGCACUGGCUCACACAUCAAAAGGUUAGUUUAAAAAGGGAGUUCUCACCUGUGGGCAGCGUUGGCUGCAUGAAGCAGGACUCAGGACCUCAGAUCCGGCUCCUGGCGGCGCGCCGGGGACGGCAGUAGUGUUGGACCCUUGGGGAACGGCGGCCGUCUCUGAGAACGCGGUCAGCGAGUCUGCGGCGGAGGACCUCGGCGCACUGAGCUCCUUUCUCAAGAGCACAUGCGUCCGGCCGGGUCCAUUCCAGAAUGUCUCUGGCCCUGGUUCCCAGAGCGGCGAGCUGGAGACCUGGCCACGGCCCUGGCCUGCGCUCCACCAGGUCCCUGACUUUCUUCCCAACCUAAUAUGACCUUUCUUGGAGCUGACGACCCUUGCCAGGGACCGCCGAACCCUCUUGCAGCGAUGGCAGGUUGGGGCUCUCAGCCUAAACAGCAGUAGGGGCCCUCGUGUCAUCUAAUAUUCAAUUGCCUCCACCCGUCGCGUGCCAGAGCGAUGCUGGGUGCCUAGCGCCGUCGGGGAGUGCGCGAGCGUGUAGGCAGCGGGAGGCGGAGGGAAACACCAGAAGGAAGACCGUGCUGAAGGCCGAGCAGCAGGGCGCAGACCUGUUGCCAGAUGCAUGCCCACUCAUGCACAGUGUGAGACGGCUCCUUAUGGGCUGGACUCCGCGACCUGACCCUCGGAGCAGUCCCUCCUCGGCAAGACACUGUUUGGGGCGCAAGCCCCCCCCCGAGACAUUCAGAACGGGGGAACUCUAAGGAAAACGGGUAUCUGCCCCCGGCUGGAUGCGCUCCGGGGACACUGGAGCCCCUGGCACCUGCUGCUUCCAAAGGCUCACACGACCUCAGAGAAAUCCCACAGCGGACAGAGACAAGGACGUGUGCCCCUCAACAGACACGUGGACAGACAGACAGAGGCGGACCGCACAGCACUGAGUGGACAAACAGAAGCCAAUGACGGGGGUCGCCCUUGGACACCAAGCCUGAAGCUGGCAUCCGAAAAGGGAAAUUCCCAGCCAUGGGCCCUGGGGCCAGAUUUCCAAGACUCGUAACUGCUCAGUUCCUGUUUUGUUGGAUGCCGAUGAGGUUGCCCAGCUGAGGAGAGACAAGUCCUCAGUUUUUCUGGUGUCAGCGGCUGUCAUCUCGGACUAAAUCCAAUUUUCUGCAUGGGGUGCUGAAGGAAGAGGCCUCUGCUCUAUAUCUGAAGCAAAAAGCUGGAUUCAUCAUUUGCAAGGCAGUGAACACGGCAGACUGCGGAUCUCCUGUGGAGUAUUUGGGAAGUGUGGGGCUGGGGAUUAGACGACUCUUCACAGCGGGAGUAUUCAGGCAUUAAGUGACCUUUAGCGAAGGCAGCUUGGCCACCGGAGCAAGGCUGUUGCUGAUUGGCCCUCAGAAGCAUGUGUACUGACCAGAGGAAGCUGUCCUCGGGACUCCUGGUUACUUGUUCCAGUGGCCAAAGAACAGUGAGUCUUUUCUUGAACGGGAGGAUAGGAACUGUUCUCGGUAGGAUCCCUUUUUUAUUUAAAUGUCAAAUAAUCCAGCUCAGAGAUUUUCAAACUUUACCAUGAAUCAAAUCCGAUCACCCAGAGGGCUUGUUAGAGCAGACCGUUGGGCCCCUCUCCUGCAGAGUGUCUGAUUAGGUAGGUCUGGGAUGGGAGCCAAGAAUCUGCACUUCUAAUGAGUUCCCAGGUGAUGCUGAUGCUCUGGUCCAGGGACCACACUUUGAGAACCACUGGUCCAGUAUCAUCGGAGUUGUAGUUAAUUAUUUGCUGUUAAGAAAAUAUUUAGGGGCUUCCCUGGUGGCGCAGUGGUUGAGAAUCUGCCUGCCAAUGCAGGGGACACGAGUUCGAGCCCCCGUCUGGGAAGAUCCCACAUGCCGCGGAGCAACUAGGCCCGUGAGCCACAACUACUGAGCCUGUGCGUCUGGAGCCUGUGCUCCGCAACAAGAGAGGCCACGACAGUGAGAGGCCCGCGCACCACGAUGAAGAGUGGCCGCUGCUCGCCGCAACUAGCGAAAGCCCUCGCACAGA